rnacentral:ncRNA from 1 species
UAAAAAUUUUUAUGGUUUAAAAAAUUUAUUUUAAAUUUAUUUUACAUAUAAAUUUUGGUGAUAAUUUUAAUGAUUUUAAAAAUAAUUAAUUUAUAUAUGUAGUAAUUAAUAUUAAAAAUUUAAGUAAUUAAGAUUUAGUAAUAUAAAAAUUAAUAACAAAUUUUGUGCCAGCAGUUGCGGUUACACAAAAAUUAAAAUAAAUUUUUUUAGUUAUUAAUAAAUAAUUAUAAAUAUAAUAAUUUAAAUUUUAAUUUAUUAAGUGAAAUUUUAAUUUAAUUAAAAAUUAUUUUUAUGAAAUUAAUAAAUUUUAUUUAUAAACUAGGAUUAGAUACCCUAUUAUUAAAAAAUUAAAAUUAUAUACUAAAAUAUUAGAUUUUUAUUGAAACUUAAAUAAUUUGGCGGUAUUUUAGUUCAUUUAGAGGAAUCUGUCUAAUAAUUGAUAAUCCACGAAUAAUUUUACUUAAUUUAUUAUUUUGUAUAUCGUUGUUAAAAAAAUAUUUUUAAAUAAUAAAUAAUAUUUUAAAAUUUAAAUAAAAAAUUAAAUCAAAUCAAGAUGCAGAUUAUAAUUAAGAAUAUGAUGGAUUACAAUAAAUUAAUUUAGGAGGAAAUUAAUAUGAAAAAUUAAUUGAAAAUGGAUUUAAAUGUAAUUUUUUUUAGUUUAUAAAAAUGAUUUAUAAUUAAAAUAUGUACAUAUUGCCCGUCGCUUUCAUUUGAAAAUUGAAAUAAGUCGUAACAAAGUAGAGGUACUGGAAAGUGUUUCUAGAAAGAA